AUGUCCGGAGCGGGAGGCAGGUGGAUGGCCUCCACCGUCACGGAGGGGCACAUCAAAAAGUUGAGGAAAGCCAGAUACUUGUCCAACGACAUUGCGCACCGGCUCCCGGAUGAGGGGCAGCUCAUCCCCACCCCCAGGCCCCAUGAGAGGGUGGUGUUCCUCACCCAUUUCCUUCGCGGACUGGGCUUCCCACUCCACCCAUUUGUCCGGGGGCUCAUGUUCUAUUACGGCCUGGAUUUCUAUGAUGUGGCCCCGAACUUCAUCCUCAACAUCUCGGCGUUUAUCAUCGUGUGCGAGGUAUUCCUCCGCAUCAAGCCCCACUUCGGCUUAUGGCUGAAGACCUUCAGUGUCAAGCCGAAGGUUGUGGGCGGUCGACAAGCGGAGUGCGGAGGCGCCAUGGUGGGCAAGAUGCCCAACGUCACAUGGCUCGAGGGCUCCUUUGUGGAAACCAUCAAAGGGUGGCAAUCGGGGUGGUUCUACAUCACCGAGCCGCGUGACCCUGAAUGGGCAGCGGCCCCCGAAUUCCAAUCUGGCAUCCCCACACGGCUCACCUCCUGGAAAGAGACGAGCCUAUUGUGGGGUAAUUCAUAA
rnacentral:rRNA from 1 species